rnacentral:rRNA from 1 species
UGGGGAAUAUUGCACAAUGGGCGAAAGCCUGAUGCAGCGACGCCGCGUGAGGGAUGACGGCCUUCGGGUUGUAAACCUCUUUCAGCAGGGAAGAAGCGAAAGUGACGGUACCUGCAGAAGAAGUGCCGGCUAACUACGUGCCAGCAGCCGCGGUAAUACGUAGGGCGCAAGCGUUGUCCGGAAUUAUUGGGCGUAAAGAGCUCGUAGGCGGUUAGUCGCGUCUGCUGUGAAAACUCGAGGCUCAACCUCGGGCUUGCAGUGGGUACGGGCUGACUAGAGUGCGGUAGGGGUGACUGGAAUUCCUGGUGUAGCGGUGGAAUGCGCAGAUAUCAGGAGGAACACCGAUGGCGAAGGCAGGUCACUGGGCCGCAACUGACGCUGAGGAGCGAAAGCAUGGGGAGCGAACAGGAUUAGAUACCCUGGUAGUCCAUGCCGUAAACGUUGGGCACUAGGUGUGGGGUCCAUUCCACGGAUUCCGUGCCGCAGCAAACGCAUUAAGUGCCCCGCCUGGGGAGUACGGCCGCAAGGCUAAAACUCAAAGGAAUUGACGGGGUCAAGCUGUUU